GUAAAAACUAUGAUAGGGAACAGUAGAUAUGGAGAGUGUCUCAAAGAGAGUGGGAACUGGUGGAAUCCCAUAGGCAUGUUGUGUUGAACUCGCCCUUGAGUUGCAGGCUGAAAUAGUAGUAGGCUGUGCCGAUUGAAUCGUUAUUAAAUUAAGUAAUAAAUUUGGGUGGUACCGCGAACAGACUUCUCGCCUCAUAA
rnacentral:ncRNA from 1 species